AGCUCCAAUAGCGUAUAUUAAAGUUGUUGCAGUUAAAAGCUCGUAGUUGGAUUUCUGGCAGUGUGACUCCGGCCGGCAGAUCGUCGGGCCCGGAGCGCGCUACCAUCCUUCUGUCAACCUUGUGGAAAUUCACUUUUCUGCUUGGGGCUCAGAUAUUUUACCUUGAGAAAAUUAGAGUGUUUCAGGCAGGCUUUCGCCGGAAUACAUUAGCAUGGAAUAAUGGAAAAGGACUUCAUCCACUUCUGUUGGUCUGAGUGGCUGUAGUAAUGAUUAAUAGGGAUAGUUGGGGGCAUUAGUACUUGACUGUCAGAGGUGAAAUUCUCCGAUUUGUUAAAGACUAACUUAUGCGAAAGCAUUUGCCAAGGAUGUUUUCA
rnacentral:rRNA from 1 species